CUGUUUAUGUCCUCUACGGACACCGUAGGACUCUUUAAUGAUCAUAUGACCACGCGCUUCUCCCAUCCUUUGUUGUCGCGGAAGUAAAGACCCAUCAGUGGUAGCUAGCAAAAGUGGUUAACAGUUAACUCAGGCAGUUUACCUUCCCAAAAAGUAUACUUAACUAGGUGUGUCUCCCAUAGACACCAAUGCACUAGCAGCUGGGUCUGACUUCCAUGGAAACAGGAAAAAAACAGCGAGUCGCUUCCUCUUCCGUCUCUGGUCGUUUGCUAUUGUAUUGUCUUUUCCGACUGAACAUUAUCUUUAGAAACAUAACACUAGUCAGAUAAAAUGUUGUUCCAGGAGAAUAUAACCAAUUGUGUUACCUUUCAGACCAAAAUAACCUCGGUUAUGGAUGUGUUAGGCAAAGCUGCGGUUGCAGAAAUAAGUAAAAUGUUCGAUGAUGGUUUUACUGUUUUACGCUUGGAAAUGUGUCGAAGAGAAAAUGAAAUCGAAGCGUUAAAAAGAAAAUUAUUGUUUGUGGAGAACGAACGGCAAAGGACGACGUCCAAAGCGCGAGAAACAGGCUGUUCUUCAACAUACUCUUUGUCUUCCAGCAGAACAGAGCAGGGGUCCAAGGGGUCUGAUAAGGAUGCUGGUGAAAGGACUUCAUAUGAGCAGACCACGAGAGACAAAGUGUUCACACCUAAAGAUGACCAACGGGAUCAAAAUAGACCACAGCCACCUAAAGAAUCAGUAGUGGGGCUUAAUGAACAGUACAGGUCUGGCCAGCGAGAGGAGAAGAGUAGUGGACUAGAAUUAGUGGUGAAGACCGAGCAAGAGGAGGAGUAUGACGUUAUUUCACUACAUACAUCAGGAAGUGAACAUGGCACAGAGAGAUCAGAUCAUCAGGAAACUGAGUUUGCCAUGGAUGACAGAGAGAGUCAGCUUUGGGCGUCUGUAUCAGAGAUCAACUGUGAUUCUGAGGGUCCAGAUUGCUCAUAUGGUACAGAACAAUAUACACAGGAUCUCAAUACAGACAUACAGCUUAUUCAAAGUGCAGUGCAGGGUCUGGAUAGCGAUCCAUCAUCAGAGAUGGGGUACAUAAACAGACUAAUGAAAGAAGAGAUGCGAGCACAGUCUGUUUGGAAUGACCGAAGUAGGACCUCUACAGAUUUGGUUCAGGCACAACCAGGUCAGCACAGAGAGCAAACUAUGCACUCAGAGAGAAGUGAGGAUGGAACUACUACCAGAGUGCCAUCAGACAAACAAACGCGAGCCAAUGAGAGUGGAGCAUAUUCCAAUGUUUGGCUUAACAAUGUAUUCUCGUUUGCCCCAAAUGGUUUCAACUCCCCAAAAGUAGCCCCACAGGGAACCCCAGCAGGAGAGAAGCGGUUUGUUUGUACCUACUGUGGAAAGAGCUUUGACUGGGUCAGCCACUUGGAGAUGCAUCAGCGGAUUCAUACGGGAGAGAAACCGUACAACUGUGUGACAUGUGGGAGGUGUUUUGCUCAGCAGAGUAAUCUCCGCACACACCAGCGAGUACACAGGGGUCUCAGAGCAAAGCCACCAGUCUACUGAUGGUUAUCACCAUGACUAGACAAUUAAGAACAUUCUAGAGAAACCAGCUGGGGCCCGCCCCACACAUUAUGAAACAACCUCAUUAACCAUGUUUUUAUGCGAGGAAUGUCAUACCAUAUUAAAACAAAAUCACGGCUGUGAUGUUUCAGUGCAAUUUCAUAAAUUGUGACAGAUAAUUUGUUUGUUCUACCUUUUUGUCUGUAAAAUGUAUUAUGUGAGAAAUGACAGUGGAAACAUCUUUAUGCACAAAUAUUAAUAUAAUAACCAUAUCAAAGUAAACUUGGAGUCACAAUUAUACUCCCAUAGGACUUGGGAAACCAUGGUUUAUUAGGCUACAGAUUAACUUAUGAACUUCACAGCCCAAUAGGCAAAAACUAGUUGCAUCCUUGUUUCCAUGUUAUUUCAACAACAAAAAUGUAAUCUGAUGACGUUGAAUCAACCUGGAAAACGGAUUGGAUUUGCCAAAAGUCAUAACUGUAAGGAAAUUGUCUUUUUCAUCCAACUUUUAACCUAAAUCUAAUGACAUGGUGACAUUUCACAGUAGUUAACAUCAACCAAAUGUAAAUAUAAACUAGACGUUGAAAUUGUCUAUGCCCAGUGGGAAGGUGAUGAAAGUGCACGGUGAUCUUGAUGCUCCUUUCCAAUAAAUAUCGAGGGGUCUUAUUCUGGUGACAUGAUCAACGCUUGACUGCCAUGCUUGACAAAUAAACAUAUUCAUAAUCUACCCGUACUGUAUGUGAGCUGUUGGCUAUAGCGCACAUGACCAGAGUAGGCAUAUUUGCUAUAUAACGCAACUGUUUUUGUGACUAAACUAUCGGUAGUUGAAAAUGUGAUGGAAAAGCAUUGAACUUUAUUCAGUACAUGAAAACAAGUCAGUUUGGGGUAAACACUGGUUGGAAAUACAAAUAUUUUAUGGGGAUUCUAGAAUAUUCACA